UACCAGCACCCCGAGUGGUCGGGACGAUUAUUGGGCCUAAAGCAUCCGUAGCCGGUCUUGCAAGUCUUCCGUUAAAUCCAGCUGCUUAACAGAUGGGCUGCGGAGGAUACUACAAGGCUAGGAGGCGGGAGAGGCAAGCGGUACUCAGUGGGUAGGGGUAAAAUCCUCUGAUCCAUUGAAGACCACCAGUGGCGAAGGCGGCUUGCCAGAACGCGCUCGACGGUGAGGGAUGAAAGCUGGGGGAGCAAACCGGAUUAGAAACCCUAGUAGUCC
rnacentral:rRNA from 2 species